GAAGGAUCCGCACGUCCUCCCGUCGGUUGCAUCGAUUUUUUUAAUUUUCUGACGAAAAAGUGCGUUUAGUGUACACAAUUUAUGCGUAAUCUGUUACUAGUGCCCUGCUUAGCCUCCUGAAAAAGCGCGUUAUAUUAAUACUACAACACCAACCACUCCUUCCUCACUCACACGAGCAUUGCUAGCUCUCUGUGUUGGUUAAUAAAAUUUCCUAAUUCAACAUUAGUGAAUUUCGUUAGCUGAUGCGGUUGGUUAACAGUGUUUUUGUCGGUGUGGAUCCCCGGCUUAAGAUGACUCCAGAGCGCGGCGCGGCCUUCCCCAAGAGAGGAGACUUCUUGGGUCACCCCCUAACCCUGAUGCUCGGGCAUCGAUGACCUGUGUAGCAUGCAGAGGUACCCAAGGGAGUCACCACCCUCUGAUUUACGAGCUAGGUGUUCUAAUGCUAGAGGCUUCGGCCGGAUACAACCUGGCACCCAAGCUCCGAGAUUUCUUCGUGCACGUAUUCCGUGACCCUCGAAGGGGCAGGGGGCGGGAUAUCGGACACAUUGAAGAUGAUGAGGGGGGUCCGCCUGUAGGGGGUCCCGGUGGAUGUCCGUUCGACGGGUGACGAGGGUGACCCCAGACGAGGCGGCUUAAUUGGGAUGGGAACUGACUGGUGAGGCUUAAUCGUCGACCAAUGGGUCGAAUCUGCAUAAGGAAGGCAACCAGCACACACUCGCAGACGGGUCGUGGAAACAUUUUUUUGUUUUUUUCUCUUGGUCUGCCCCGCGUCGAAUUUUGAAGGCAGAAAAUGUCGGGAGGAGGCGAGCAUAACCAGGCCUAACUUAAACCUGUUAAAAGUACCGUCGAAUACCUGGAAAACGUGUUUAUUGUCAACUCUACAGGAUCGACCGAAGUCCAUGGAGUUGGGGGCAUUCGAUGUGCCCCAUAGCAGUGAGACGCCACUGCUUUUUUCGCCGUAUAAUUAUUAUGGUGGGACUGAAAAUGAACUUAAGCAAGAUGUGAUGGUGAUACAGUAUGGCUUGGAGAAUUUCAAAAGUCGGUUCGCGUCGUGGUUCCAAAGCAGUAACUUUAGGUUCC